rnacentral:rRNA from 1 species
UACAGAGGUCUCAAGCGUUGUUCGGAUUCAUUGGGCGUAAAGGGUGCGUAGGUGGCGCCGUAAGUCGGGUGUGAAAUUUCGGAGCUUAACUCCGAAACUGCAUUCGAUACUGCGGUGCUUGAGGACUGGAGAGGAGACUGGAAUUCCUGGUGUAGCGGUGGAAUGCGCAGAUAUCAGGAGGAACACCUAUAGCGAAGGCAGCUCGCUGGGACGACACUGACGCUGAGACGCGAAAGCGUGGGGAGCGAACAGG